GGCCCAGCUUCGCGCUCGGGCCACAUCUGACUGAGGGUCGGUCGAUUGAUGAACGAAGGCGGUUGUCUUGGGUGCUCGAAAGGGUGCCCAUGCCCGCCGACUCUGGGGGCCGCGCGGCUUCAUUGCCCGCGAUCCCUUAAAUCGAAAUCGAAUCGGUGGCUUCACGGCGUUCGAAUCCUCCCUUUCGAAAAACAAACAGUUGUUCGUGUACGUGAGAACGAGACGAGUGCCUCGACGAUCUCGCUCGCGGUGACUGCGGACGCGUCCUUGUACUGAGCUAUACUCCAAAUGUGUCGGAGACUCGAAAGCUAGCGAACUCGUCCUUUAAGUAACCGCCGUGUGUGCAGUGUGUGUGUCGGUUCGGACGAGAGGGUUAGAUGGCGAGUGAGCGAUGCCGGGGUUGGUUCUGUGCGAGGAUGGAGUGUCCGCGAAGCCGUUUGAUUGUUGGCUCUCGCGCUAUACCGUGUGUGAAGCAUUAUAAGCCUCUCGAACACUCGUACGCCGGGCGUGUUGUUAACUCAACCACCGCGUAUGCGAGUUAUUAGUAGGGCCGGAGCGCGAGUUUUUAAAAGCUGUAUCAGUCAGCUCCGUUAACUCGUCGGAGUAAGGGCUUUUUCUGAAGGGAAGUCAAAGACUCGCAUAAAGUACACUACGAUCGACCGUUUAAUACAAAAAAUCAUAUCUGACCUCAGUUUAGGUGAGACUACCCGCUGAACUUAAGCAUAUCAGUAAGCGGAGGAAAAGAAACUAACAAGGAUUCCCUUAGUAGCGGCGAGCGAACAGGGAAGAGCUCAGCACCGAACCUCGCGCCCGGCAAAGCGGACGCAGAGGAAUGUGGUGUUUGGGAGAACCGUGCGUGUCUGUCCGGUAUAUUCAUCCAAGUCUCCAUGAACGGGGCGAGCAACCCACAGAGGGUGUCAGGCCCGUAGACCAGAUGAGCCGAGACCGUACAUCGGGUUC
rnacentral:rRNA from 1 species